rnacentral:lncRNA from 1 species
UUGAUGGUGAAUAAGAUCACGCUGGUUUAAAGUUGCACCACAGCCUUGGUUUGUACAAACGGCUGGUGUAAAUCCACAUGUAGCCUCAUGGUUGUCGAGAUGUUCCAGCUGUACAAUUUCUUGACAACCUCUGUUGUUGUAAACGCAGUGAAUCUUCAAUUCAUUUAAAUAAUCUUUCACCAUUCUGUUGGGUUCAGCUAGAGUCUCUACGGUCAGUUCGUCCGCACACGUAGGGCAUCUUCGUGAAUUCUCGAGGUGUUUCGUAAUACAAGAACGGCAGAAACAAUGUUGGUUUCUCGGACACAGAACCGGGUCUUUAAGGACAUUGAAGCAAAUCAAACAGAGGAAAUUUCGAUUGACUGUUGUCGCAAACCUUUCUUCAUCAUAGCCUUGUAUAUACGACGCCAUAUAUUUCACGCCUUUCUUCUUUC